rnacentral:rRNA from 1 species
GAUGAACGCUGGCGGCGUGCUUAACACAUGCAAGUCGAACGGGAAUUCUUUUAUUGAAACUUCGGUCGAUUUAAUUUAAUUCUAGUGGCGGACGGGUGAGUAACGCGUGGGUAACCUGCCUUAUACAGGGGGAUAACAGUCAGAAAUGGCUGCUAAUACCGCAUAAGCGCACAGAGCUGCAUGGCUCAGUGUGAAAAACUCCGGUGGUAUAAGAUGGACCCGCGUUGUAUUAGCUGGUUGGUGGGGUAACGGCCCACCAAGGCGACGAUCCAUAGCCGGCCUGAGAGGGUGAACGGCCACAUUGGGACUGAGACACGGCCCAGACUCCUACGGGAGGCAGCAGUGGGGAAUAUUGCACAAUGGGGGAAACCCUGAUGCAGCGACGCCGCGUGAAGGAAGAAGUAUCUCGGUAUGUAAACUUCUAUCAGCAGGGAAGAUAGUGACGGUACCUGACUAAGAAGCCCCGGCUAACUACGUG